GUAAGUGUCCCACAUAUAAAGUAGAGGAAGAUGGGCACGGAUGUUAGCUCAGACCAGUCUUCCUCAGCAAAAAGAGGAGGAUUGGUGGCAGAUGUUAGCUCAGAGCUAAUCUUCCUAAAAAAAAAAAAAAGACUCUGACCAAGGUCAAAGGACCACUGUUAUCUUACUCAACUUCUCAGCUGCAUUUGACACAGUAGACCCCUUCUUCCUCCUGGAAACAAUUUUUUUCUUAGGCUUCUGUUAUGGACAGAACUGUGUUCCCCCAAAAUUUGUAAGUUGAAGCCUUAACCCCCAAUGUGGCUCUUUUUGGAGAUAGGGCCAUUUAAAGAGGUAAAUAAGGUUAAAUGAAUUCAUAAGGGUGGGGCCCUAAUCCAAUAUGACUAGUGUCCUUAUGAGAAGAGGAAGAGCCACCAGGGAUUUGUGAGCACAGAAGAAAGGCCGUGCGAGGCAGCUGUCUGCAACCCAAAGAGAGAGGCCUCAGGAGAAAGCAAACCUGCCAGCGCCUUGAUCUUGGACUUCCAGCCUCCAGAACUACUUGUAAAUGUUGGGGGCUCCGUCCUUUGCUCUCUCCUCUUUUCCUCUCCCUCUGCACCUUCUCUGUAGGUGAUCUCAUGGCAUCUCUAGCCCAGACCUCUCCUGAG
rnacentral:lncRNA from 1 species